rnacentral:rRNA from 1 species
UUCCGAUCUGAACUCAGACGUGAUU